GAUGAACGCUGGCGGCGUGCCUAAUACAUGCAAGUCGAGCGGCAGCAGGUUAAGCUGACGAGUGGCGAACGGGUGAGUAAUGCAUCGGAACGUGCCCGAUCGUGGGGGAUAACGCAGCGAAAGCUGCGCUAAUACCGCAUACGAUCUGAGGAUGAAAGCGGGGGACCGUAAGGCCUUGCGCGAUCGGAGCGGCCGAUGUCAGAUUAGGUAGUUGGUGGGGUAAAGGCCCACCAAGCCGACGAUCCGUAGCUGGUCUGAGAGGACGACCAGCCACACUGGGACUGAGACACGGCCCAGACUCCUACGGGAGGCAGCAGUGGGGAAUUUUGGACAAUGGGCGAAAGCCUGAUCCAGCAAUGCCGCGUGCAGGAAGAAGGCCUUCGGGUUGUAAACUGCUUUUGUACGGAGCGAAAAGGUCCUUUCUAAUACAAGGGGCUCAUGACGGUACCGUAAGAAUAAGCACCGGCUAACUACGUGCCAGCCGCCGCAGUAA
rnacentral:rRNA from 1 species